AUUUUAUUUCAUUCUAAACCAGUGCUCGCCUUUUAAUAGUUCGUUUUUGUGAAAUUAGCGGUAAGCGUUUUUAUUUAUCAAGAGGAAAAAUACCUGGUUAAUUUAAUUAAAGACAUUAACUUUUGCACCAAAAUGAUCAAAGCACCAGAAAAUAUUUAUCCAGCGGGUAUUAAGCUAGAGGAACAUCAGAAUGGAGGAGAAGUGGAAAUUGAUCAUCUUCGCAAAAUGUUCAUUGGCGGUUUGUCGGCAGUAACAACCGAAGAGUCACUUCGCGCUUUCUAUAAGCAAUGGGGCGAUGUAGUUGACGCGAUAGUAAUGCGUGAUCCAGCAACAAAGCGUUCCCGGGGAUUUGGAUUUAUUACAUACUCUGACACUUAUAUGGUUGAUCGCGCACAAGCUGCACGUCCACAUGUAAUUGACGGAAAGCAGGUAGAUUCAAAGCGUGCUUUGCCCAAGCCUGAACUUGGAAAGCCAGAAGCUAGUACUACAGUAAAAAAAAUCUUUGUUGGUGGCUUAAAAGAAAAUCACGAUGAACAGACUUUAACCGAACACUUUUCACAAUUCGGUAAUGUAGUUGGAGUUAAAAUUCUAACGGAUAAAACAACUGGUCGCAAACGGGGUUUUGCAUUUGUAGAGUUUGAUGACUAUGAUGCAGUGGACAAAGCAGUGUUGCACAAAAAUCACACAAUUAAAUAUGUUCUGGUAGAUGUGAAAAAAUCAGUUUACAAACAAGAGUUGGCUAAGAAACGCGCCACGCAGGCACAACAGGCAGGCGUUCCCCCAGGCGGAGCACCGCCAGCAAACGGCUACCAACAACCUGCCGCGCCCUAUGCCCAACAGCCAGCUUAUGGAUAUCCACCACAAAUGGGUCCACCGGCAUACAAUGGAUGGGGAGGAUAUCCCCAAGCUGCGCCACCAGCUGCGUACCAACAACCACCUCCAGCUGCACCUGUCGCGGGCUAUGGCGCUUAUACAGCUCCACCUCAAAACGGUGGUGCUCCCGGCUGGGGUGCGCCUGCCGCUUAUGCAGCACCUGCAGCUUGGCCGCAAAAUGGUUACGCAGCAGCCCCACCCGCUGCUGCACCUGUGCCACCACCAGCUGCCGCACCUGCAGCUGCACCUGCCGUAAAUAGUUGGAAUGGUGCUGCUGCUGCUCCAACUCCAGCCGCUCCUCAAAAUUUUGGUGAUUACCAACAAUCAUACAACGGUGGCCCACAAAAAGCAGGCAGCUUACAAGGAAACAGAAUGAACCCAUAUAGUGUGUCGUCAGCGCCUAGUUAUGGGUCAGCCGCUUAUGCCGGUUACCUGAAUACGUCAAAAUCGACGGGCAUAUGUUCAUCUGUAAACUCUGCUUAUAAAACACAGACAAAGCACUUAUACUAGACUAUAGAAAUAAAGCGGAUUAAAACUACCAUUAUGUACAAUAUAAAGCUAUUCAGUAAGAAAAUUGUCUUAAAAAACGGAAGGGGGAAAUACUUCGAAAUUAUAUAUGAAUGCGUGUUGCCACAGGCAUUUAAGAUGUAUGCUUAUACAUAAAAUUAAAGUACUACUACAUAAAUAACCAGAAUUAUUUUAAGAGAAACAAGUAAAAAAAUUCAAACCAACCCAAAUCCAACCCCAUGAAAGAAAGAUUUACAUAAAAUGCACUACGUACAUUACAUAGAGCAAUACAAGAACAAAACGUAAAAACGCACUUCAUUAAGGAUGAAUAUCGAUAUUUAUAGUAUCAAUAUAUGUAUGAAUCUAUGUAUUUUUAAACUAUAAUUUAAAUAAUCCAUAUGCUGGUAUAUACACAUUAA